rnacentral:tRNA from 1 species
UCCGGAGUAGCUCAGCGGUAGAGCGGUCGGCUGUUAACCGAUUGGUCGUAGGUUCGAGUCCUACCUCCGGAGCCA